GAGUUUGAUCCUGGCUCAGAUUGAACGCUGGCGGAAUGCUUUACACAUGCAAGUCGAACGAUGAACCCUAGCUUGCUAGGGGGAUUAGUGGCGAACGGGUGAGUAAUAUAUCGGAACGUGCCUUGUAAUGGGGGAUAACUAGUCGAAAGAUUAGCUAAUACCGCAUACGCCCUGAGGGGGAAAGUAGGGGAUCUUCGGACCUUACGUUAUAAGAGCGGCCGAUAUCUGAUUAGCUAGUUGGUGGGGUAAUGGCUCACCAAGGCGACGAUCCGUAACUGGUCUGAGAGGAUGAUCAGUCACACUGGAACUGAGACACGGUCCAGACUCCUACGGGAGGCAGCAGUGGGGAAUAUUGGACAAUGGGCGCAAGCCUGAUCCAGCCAUGCCGCGUGUGUGAAGAAGGCCUUCGGGUUGUAAAGCACUUUCAGCGAGGAGGAAGGGAGUUGUGUUAAUAGCACAGCUUCUUGACGUUACUCGCAGAAGAAGCACCGGCUAACUCUGUG
rnacentral:rRNA from 1 species